rnacentral:ncRNA from 1 species
UUAAAGUUUUAAUCUAGCUUGACAAUUAGGUUUUAUUUUUAUUUAUAUGAAAGAUUUAACACGAAUUGGUGUAUAUUUAGAUAGUAUCCAUUUAUAACAAAAAUUUAAGUCUCAGUAAAUAGUUUUAAAUUUUAAUUAAUUUUAGAUUUAGAAAUAUUAAUUAAAUAUUAACAAAAUUUGUGCCAGCAGUUGCGGUUACACAAAUAAUAUAACUUAAUUUUUUUAGAAGUAAUUAAUUUUAAUAUUUAUUAAAUUUAUAUUUUGGAUUAUUAGGUGAAAUUUUAAUUUAAAAGGAAGUUUUGUAAUAAUUAGUAAGGUUAAGAGAUUUAUUACUAAACUAGGAUUAGAUACCCUAUUAUUAUAAAUGUAAAAUUUUAUUCUAGGCCAUUAAUAGUUAAGUUCUUUAAAAUUAAAGAUUUUGGCGGUAUUUUAGUCUAUUCAGAGGAACCUGUCCUAUAAUUGAUAAUCCACGUUUUAUAAAACUUACAUUUUUAGUUUAUAUAUCGUCGUAAGUUGAAUAUUUUACAAGAAUUCAAAUAUUCAAAAUUUAAAAUUACAAAGUAAAUCAGAUCAAGAUGUAGUUUAUAUGUGAGAAGAGAUGGGUUACAUUAAAUUUAUUUAUGGAUAAAUUUUUUAAAGGAUUUUUUGAAAUUGGAUUUGAUAGUAAUUAUAUAUAAAUUUUUAUAAUGAUUUUAGCUCUAAAAUAUGUACAUAUCGCCCGUCGCUUUCGUUACAAAAUGAAAUAAGUCGUAACAGAGUAGGUGUACUGGAAAGUGUACCUAGAAUGAC